rnacentral:rRNA from 1 species
UACGGGGGGGGGCAAGCGUUGUUCGGAAUUACUGGGCGUAAAGGGCUGGUAGGCGGCCAACUAAGUCGGAUGUGAAAUCCCUCGGCUUAACCGAGGAACUGCCUGUCAGACUGGAAGGCUUGAGACCGGGAGAGGUGAGUGGAAUUCCCAGUGUAGCGGUGAAAUGCGUAGAUAUUGGGAGGAACACCAGUGGCGAAGGCGGCUCACUGGACCGGAACUGACGCUGAGGCGCGAAAGCGUGGGGAGCAAACAGG